rnacentral:rRNA from 1 species
GACGGAGGGGGCUAGCGUUGUUCGGAAUUACUGGGCGUAAAGCGCGCGUAGGCGGACUUGCAAGUCGGGGGUGAAAGCCCGAGGCUCAACCUCGGAACUGCCUUCGAUACUGCGGGUCUCGAGUCCGGGAGAGGUGAGUGGAAUUCCUAGUGUAGAGGUGAAAUUCGUAGAUAUUAGGAAGAACACCAGUGGCGAAGGCGGCUCACUGGCCCGGUACUGACGCUGAGGCGCGAAAGCGUGGGGAGCAAACAGG